UAAGGGCGCACGGUGGAUGCCUUGGCACUAGAAGCCGAUGAAGGACGUUACUAACGACGAUAUGCUUUGGGGAGCUGUAAGUAAGCUUUGAUCCAGAGAUUUCCGAAUGGGGAAACCCAGCAUGAGUUAUGUCAUGUUAUCGAUAUGUGAAUACAUAGCAUAUCAGAAGGCACACCCGGAGAACUGAAACAUCUUAGUACCCGGAGGAAGAGAAAGAAAAUUCGAUUCCCUUAGUAGCGGCGAGCGAAACGGGAAGAGCCCAAACCAACAAGCUUGCUUGUUGGGGUUGUAGGACACUCUAUACGGAGUUACAAAGGACGACAUUAGACGAAUCAUCUGGAAAGAUGAAUCAAAGAAGGUAAUAAUCCUGUAGUCGAAAAUGUUGUCUCUCUUGAGUGGAUCCUGAGUACGACGGAGCACGUGAAAUUCCGUCGGAAUCUGGGAGGACCAUCUCCUAAGGCUAAAUACUCUCUAGUGACCGAUAGUGAACCAGUACCGUGAGGGAAAGGUGAAAAGCACCCCGGAAGGGGAGUGAAAUAGAACCUGAAACCGUGUGCUUACAAGUAGUCAGAGCCCGUUAAUGGGUGAUGGCGUGCCUUUUGUAGAAUGAACCGGCGAGUUACGAUUUGAUGCAAGGUUAAGCAGUAAAUGUGGAGCCGUAGCGAAAGCGAGUCUGAAUAGGGCGUUUAGUAUUUGGUCGUAGACCCGAAACCAGGUGAUCUACCCUUGGUCAGGUUGAAGUUCAGGUAACACUGAAUGGAGGACCGAACCGACUUACGUUGAAAAGUGAGCGGAUGAACUGAGGGUAGCGGAGAAAUUCCAAUCGAACCUGGAGAUAGCUGGUUCUCUCCGAAAUAGCUUUAGGGCUAGCCUCAAGUGAUGAUUAUUGGAGGUAGAGCACUGUUUGGACGAGGGGCCCCUCUCGGGUUACCGAAUUCAGACAAACUCCGAAUGCCAAUUAAUUUAACUUGGGAGUCAGAACAUGGGUGAUAAGGUCCGUGUUCGAAAGGGAAACAGCCCAGACCACCAGCUAAGGUCCCAAAAUAUAUGUUAAGUGGAAAAGGAUGUGGCGUUGCCCAGACAACUAGGAUGUUGGCUUAGAAGCAGCCAUCAUUUAAAGAGUGCGUAAUAGCUCACUAGUCGAGUGACACUGCGCCGAAAAUGUACCGGGGCUAAACAUAUUACCGAAGCUGUGGAUUGUCCUUUGGACAAUGGUAGGAGAGCGUUCUAAGGGCGUUGAAGCAUGAUCGUAAGGACAUGUGGAGCGCUUAGAAGUGAGAAU
rnacentral:rRNA from 1 species